rnacentral:lncRNA from 10 species
ACACAUGACCUCUGUCCUUCCAGCUGCCACCAGUUUCUGGGUUGUCGAGUGAUACCCUGAAAGUUUACAGUCAACACUCCUUGUGUGGGGUCAGUCCUAGAAAUGGCGACGCUGCUCUCCGAAGAUAGGAAAGAAAAGGACCUCAUUCCAUUGAGCCAUUGACCGAAAUAUUUUCUCAACAAAGUUGAACUGAGCUGAAACUGUGUGAAUCAUGGCAAUACAGUGAAAGACAGUGAUUUACUGCUUUUGAGGGCGUGCAUGUAUAUGAUUAACGGAUGGAAGUGCAGGACUCCAAGAUUUACUUCCUUCCCUUUCCAGCAGAAUUACCUGAGACGAGUAAAAUCUACUGGUGGAGUCACUCCAUUAUUCUUAUCUGUGGAGAUCUAGAUCUUGAUUUGAAAGUUUCUGAGAAAAUCUUCAGCUCAGACUUGAGGGUCAACUUUACCAGCUGAAGGAUCUGCAUUUACUGCUCAACCACAUCUAAUUUGAUGUCCUCUGCAGAUUUAAAAUGUGUGCCUUCUUUUCCGUCACCAAGUCAUCCCUGGGUUACUACUGAACAUCCUUCUCAAUUCCCCCCGACCCAUGGAUGGCUGUUCUCCAUUGUCUGUUUCACCAGAUGUCCUCAAAACAAACAGACAGAAGAAGGAAGUGGCUAAUGGAGCUGUGGAGUCCAAGUGUGACUGCCAAGAGGAAUCCAGCAAAGCCAAAAAGCCCAAGCAUGUAGCCCUGCCCGAAGCACGCCACACGCAUGGAAAACCCAGAGGAAAUGAGUGAGGAUCAAUGGGAAGAAGAGAGCCAGCCAGCUCUGUAUUCUAAGAACCUGGAAACAAUCUUUAUUCACACUGUUAAGACGAUUGAGAAAAAUGGAUGGAUAGAGUUUAUUUGCUAAGAGAAAAACUGAGUGACUACCUAGCUACCUCACUCCUUUUUGCUCUAUUGGUAAGUUCAAAUGAAGGAAAUAGCA